rnacentral:lncRNA from 1 species
GAGAACCUGUGGGAGGAAUGAAAGUUAGAUUCUGCUGAGUUGUUCCUGUCAGAGGCAUUUUGUGAUGCAGCAUUAUACCUGGGUGAAAGAGAAAAAAAACAACAAUCUGCCUCAACUGUUUUUAUUUCCAAGUUGUCUGAUGUAUCAUCAAAUACAGUUUUUUCUUAUGUCACCUUAACACCGUGGGACUACAAAGCAACAGCAAGGUGAAGGCACGACACUUGUACCAUGCUGGUGAGCAAACAUGUCUCCUUCCUGAACCUGGCUCUGUAAGCAGGGGGAGGAAAUACC